UAUUCCUUAUUGAUAACCCCUUUAAAAGAAAAAAUAAAAAUGAUUAUCAUAGUUUCAAACUUAUUUAAUAGUUCUACAUCAUAUAUACCAUCACUAAAUUCAUGUAAUAUAUUUUGCUGUGGAGUGGUCAAAAUUACCUUAAUAUUCUUAUGAGCAUCUUAAAAAUUUUUUACUUGCAACUAUUUCAAAAAUAAUUUAACAUCCACAUUAUCAACUUUUAAUAAUAAUUAUUUUUUUAUUUUUAUUAU
rnacentral:lncRNA from 1 species